CAACCCUUGUCCUUAGUUACCAGCACGUUAUGGUGGGCACUCUAAGGAGACUGCCGGUGACAAACCGGAGGAAGGUGGGGAGUGACGUCAAGUCAUCAUGGCCCUUACGGCCUGGGCUACACACGUGCUACAAUGGUCGGUACAAAGGGUUGCCAAGCCGCGAGGUGGAGCUAAUCCCAUAAAAACCGAUCGUAGUCCGGAUCGCAGUCUGCAACUCGACUGCGUGAAGUCGGAAUCGCUAGUAAUCGUGAAUCAGAAUGUCACGGUGAAUACGUUCCCGGGCCUU
rnacentral:rRNA from 1 species